CCUACGGGGGGCAGCAGUAGGGAAUCUUCCACAAUGGGCGAAAGCCUGGUGGAGCAACGCCGCGUGGGUGAAGAAGGUCUUCGGAUCGUAAAACCCUGUUGUUAGAGAAGAAAGUGCGUGAGAGUAACUGUUCACGUUUAGACGGUAUCUAACCAGAAAGCAACGGCUAACUACGUGCCAGCAGCCGCGGUAAGACGUAGGGGGCAAGAGCUAUCCGGAUUUAUUGGGCGGAAAG
rnacentral:rRNA from 1 species